rnacentral:rRNA from 1 species
CCUACGGGAGGCAGCAGUGGGGAAUAUUGCACAAUGGGCGAAAGCCUGAUGCAGCAACGCCGAGUGAAGGAAGAAGGGUUUCGGCUCGUAAACUUCUAUCAAGAGGUGCGAAAGCACUGACGGUACCUGAAUAAGAAGCCCCGCUUACCUACGUGACAGCACUCGCGGGAAUCCGUAGGUGGCAAGCGUUAUCCGGAAGUAAUGGGUGUAAAGGGUGAGUAGGCGGCAUGGUAAGCCAGAUGUGAAAGCCUUGGGCUUAACCCGAGGAUUGCAUUUGGAACUAUCAAGCUAGAGUACAGGAGAGGAAAGCGGAAUUGCUAGUGUAGCGGUGAAACGCGUAGAGAUUAGGAAGAACACCAGUGGCGAAGGCGGCUGUCUGGACUGAAACUGACGCUGAGGCACGAAAGCGUGGGGAGCGAACAGGAUGAGAUACCCCUGUAGGC